UGAAAAUAUGCCUAUACUAUGAAGUACGAAAGAACAACGCCCACAACAGAACACUUCUUGAUGAAAGGAAAAUGUGGAACCUACGUAAAAAAUGAUACAUCUCUAAAACCAGCAUUAAGCUCUUUUAAAAAGUAUUGUAUGGACUCUGUUGAUUGACAUAUUUACAACCAGGAGUGCAUAAAAGGCCGGUGUAGCAAGGUUCAACACCAAACAUAAACAAAUCAAACUAACCUGGAGCACAGAUAUUCUGAGAUUUCUAGAAUUCCCAUUUGGCGCAAUCACCUGACACUGAAUUCUGGGAACUAAGUGGAAGAUGAAUGCAGUUUCCUGCAUUUUCUUUAGUUUGCCAAAGAUAUCUGAUGAGGCAAAGAGUGCAUUCAGUAUCAAAUUGUGAGUAAUCCUAUAUUAAUCAACUCAUCUGCAAAAAAAAAAUGAUGUAACAAAUUUUUUCCUCAGAUUUU